CACACACCACCUCCAAUGAGCAACAGCUCAAGGGGCUCUGUUGAAACAGACCGUGCUACACCCCAGAGUCCUGUCCCACCGUGGUGGUCCCUAACUGUCUGAAGAUGACAUAAAGGUAAGAGGGAGACUAUUAGAG
rnacentral:lncRNA from 1 species